GACUUGACACUUGUCACUUGUGACUUGACGUUUCGGACAAAAACUUUAAACUUAUAAAAUUCUGUUUUAAUCCAGAAGAGGUUAAAUAAGUCCUGAAAUAUAUAAUUAAGAAGCUAUUUAAUAUAAUCAUAUCGACCAAAAAUGUCAGUAACAAAAUCCAACAAGAAAUUUAAAUGGGCUUUAGAUUUCAAUCAAAAGCCUCGAUCCCAAGCAACAGAAUUGCCGUCUCCCCCAGGUUUCAGUCAAUCGACAAGCGCAAACUACGCAGAAUCGUCGAAAGAUUCAGAUUCAAACCUUCUUCUU